UGGAGGCUGAGACAGGAGGGAUCAGAAGACACUGUGGCCCCAUCCGAUCACACCGAUCACACUGUGGCCCCAUACAUCACACCUAUCGUGGAUGGGGUCCUGACAAGCGACGUGAUGAUGUGAAUCUAGUCAGUUAUUUUCGCAGUAAGGGUAAUCAGGUUAAGAUGAUGCAUAAGCUCAUCAAACACUGCCUCCAGACCGAGGAACAAGAGGAGAGAUUCCUCACGGUGUUACGUGAAACAAAUCUGUACUUAUAUGAUGACCUGCAAGAAAACAAACCACAGGGAAAGUUCGGUGAGUACAAUUACAUAUAGUGAAACAAGGCCUGGAAUGGAUAAUCACUCUCUCCAUAACUAAACUACUCUCCUGUGUCUUUGUGUCAGUCAGGAUAGAUCCUCCCGUUGUGAAAUUGACAGUCAAGGUGCGCACUGCACUUGGUGACAAGGUCCACGAUCUAUGGUCCAUGACUAUGAUACCCUCCUACAACCGGAGGAUCACGGCUAUCAUGCCAGCGCUAGACGUACUGGUGUUUCACGACCAACUGCUUCCAGAAGAACGUGCAGAGUUCCGGGUAAACCGCGACCAUGACUAUGAUAUGAUUGUGCAACUGGAAGACAUGUGCAGGGACACUACCAUCCCUGAAACGAACCGAAAGUUCAUCUCCUUGGUAGUGUCUUCCUUUAACAUGCAUGUGUUUGAUAUUCCGAACAUUAUAACCAUGCGUAUGAAAGAUGUCUUUGUGUAUGUGUAGUACAGUGAGUCCUGUACCAACCCAUGUUGUUUAUCUGUGUAUUACAAAGGAAAUAAACACUGGUGAAAAUAAAUGUUUUGAUGUUUCCCUUUAUUACCAUAGGAGUCCUUUACUUAUAUGUAUAUUAAGUGUUUAAAUAAUACUGAUUGGCUUUAGUUUACUGUAGGGCCUACAGUUAAGGGUAGGCAAAUAUGUGCUUGUUGGACUCAUAACAAAUAUGGUGGAUAAUUAAGAUGAUGGAUAAAAGCUGUUUACCGUUGAAAUAAAUGGUCAAGGUUCUGUCUAUGUAACUAAGAGUUCCCUGUCUCUCAUGAGCAUGCUUUAUCGCAUGCUCAAACAUGGUCACACUAGAGAAGGAACACCCACUUACAGAGACAGGAAGAAUAACCAUUUUUUUAAAUUGGAAACUGCCCAAUAACAGCUGGUUCUGGUCUAUUUAUUCCCUUCCCCGCACCCUUGCUCUGCCAGCUUUCUCUACCGUCUUUGCUCAUACUGCUCUCUUUUGCACCUUGUAGGUGAGAGAGGAGUAUGGCAAGAUCCUGGACAGCGUCUGUGCACUACAGAAGACGAAGUACUCAGAGUUUUCCUCCAACCAGUCAAGCAACAGCAAAUCACAGACAUCCAAGAGCGCCCAGAACACGGGAGAGUCUCAGAUCUAGGGGGCAGGACGCUGGUUGCUGGACAUGACCCCUGGAUGCCUGACCUCGUGACCUCCUAGCAACACCUGGGAGUUUUAUAAAAGCAUAACCACCCUGGUUUAAUGACAGGCAUAAGUUAAUGCUUGCCUGGUCCGAGAUCUGUUUGUGCUGUCUUGCCAAAAGAGCACAAAAGGACCAGGAUAGAUUGAUGGGAUGGUUGAUGUCCGUUUUUUUGUGACAACUAUAUUUCGCUUUAAGCAGUAUUGUGCAAAUUUUUUUAAGAUUCUGUAAAUAUUACAGUACUUUCUCAUUGGGCUGGCCUGGAUAUUAUUUUAAGCUAAAACUCCAAAGAGUAACGAUAAAGUAUUUAUUGUUUUACACUGAUUUUCCUAUUGACAGUUUCAUGUCUUUUUCCAACCUUGUUAUUCUUUGGAUUAUAUAAUACUGAUGAGAAACCCCCCUCCUACUGUAGAAGAGUGGACUAGUCCUGCAUGGUUUAAGCAGGGACAACUCAUCAUGGAUUAUUACAUUAUGCAUUAUCCAGGUACUUUCUCUGAUCUUAAAAUACAUAACAGAUUAUAAAUUAUAAAAAACAAUUUUUUUUAAAAUAGCCAUAAGCUAUCAUGGUUUUAUUUAAAAAAUAACCACCAAAGGUCGAGUUGUGAGAGUCAGAUUGAAAUCAUGUCAGAUUGAAAUGUAUAUUUUGUGUAUAUAGUUUUAUAAUUGUAUCUCAAUUUUAAAAGGGAUCAACCAAAAAAUGUACAAGAAUCAUCAUCAUGACUGUUACAUUGUUUCUAGUAAGGUGUGCAUCCUGUCAAAUAAGGACAAAUUAAAAUGUAAAUCAUUGUAAAUAUUUUCUUUGUAUAGAUAAUUUGUAUGACUUUUUUUACUGGGAAAUGGCAUGCUUUUAUCACUGUACUGUAACUUCUCUGUUUUUAGACUUUAUUUGCCAUGCGAUAUUUUAAUUGAAUAAAAUAUUAAAAUAUUUUG